UGCAAGCGGCAUCAGUUUAGACAAAAGACACAGCCUAGAGUAGGAAUACAUACGGCAGAAUCUAUAAUCUCAAUGUAGAUAAGCUAUGACCUGUCUAAUAACGAUGUUAGUAACCCUAUACCCAUACGGAAUUCAUAAAACUCGAUCACGCACAGAACAAAUUUUUCCUUCCUCUUUUUUUGUUGACACCCGAAACGGGUUAUAAUCGGGAAAACAUUUUUCCUUCAUGGGGGCGGUUUAAAUCCCGGGCGGGAGGGAGAGCCCCGCGCCUAUCAGCUUGUGGUGGGGUAAUGCCCUACCAAGGCGACGACGGGUACCCGCCCUAGAGGGCGACCGCGCACACUGGGACUGAGACAACGCCCCAGACUCCUACGGGAGGCAGCAGUGGGGAAUAUUGCACAAUGGGCGAAAACCCUGAUGCAGCGACGCCCGCGUGAGAGAUGACGGCCUUCGGGUUGUAAACCUCUUUCAGCAGGGAAGAAGCGCAAGUGACGGUACCUGCAGAAGAAGCACCGGCUAACUACGUGCCAGCAGCCGCGGUAAUACGUAGGGUGCGAGCGUUGUCCGGAAUUAUUGGGCGUAAAGAGCUCGUAGGCGGCUUGUCACGUCGGAUGUGAAAGCUCGGGGCUUAACCCCGAGUCUGCAUUCGAUACGGGCUAGCUAGAGUGUGGUAGGGGAGAUCGGAAUUCCUGGUGUAGCGGUGAAAUGCGCAGAUAUCAGGAGGAACACCGGUGGCGAAGGCGGAUCUCUGGGCCAUUACUGACGCUGAGGAGCGAAAGCGUGGGGAGCGAACAGGAUUAGAUACCCUGGUAGUCCACGCCGUAAACGUUGGGAACUAGGUGUUGGCGACAUUCCACGUCGUCGGUGCCGCAGCUAACGCAUUAAGUUCCCCGCCUGGGGAGUACGGCCGCAAGGCUAAAACUCAAAGGAAUUGACGGGGGCCCGCACAAGCAGCGGAGCAUGUGGCUUAAUUCGACGCAACGCGAAGAACCUUACCAAGGCUUGACAUAUACCGGAAAGCAUCAGAGAUGGUGCCCCCCUUGUGGUCGGUAUACAGGUGGUGCAUGGCUGUCGUCAGCUCGUGUCGUGAGAUGUUGGGUUAAGUCCCGCAACGAGCGCAACCCUUGUUCUGUGUUGCCAGCAUGCCCUUCGGGGUGAUGGGGACUCACAGGAGACUGCCGGGGUCAACUCGGAGGAAGGUGGGGACGACGUCAAGUCAUCAUGCCCCUUAUGUCUUGGGCUGCACACGUGCUACAAUGGCCGGUACAAUGAGCUGCGAUGCCGCGAGGCGGAGCGAAUCUCAAAAAGCCGGUCUCAGUUCGGAUUGGGGUCUGCAACUCGACCCCAUGAAGUCGGAGUUGCUAGUAUCGCAGAUCAGCUGUGCG
rnacentral:rRNA from 1 species